CACGUACAAAUUUUACCUUUUGUCUCGAAAACAGCGAAAACUUGUCAGUCGUCGACUCCGCCAUGGCGACGUUGGAAGAUGAGGCAAAUUUCCCUUUUAUGUGAAGUGAACGCCUCGCCUCUUGAAAUUGGUCAUCAUUACAGUAUCAGGGCCAGUAGCUACGAGGAUGCUUGUGAAUGGUAUUUGGUGCAUACAGAAGCAAAAGUCUCUCUCGCUUUUGUGCAAAUGGUUCCUGAUAGUCAUUGAUCACCUUGAUUUAUUGGUGUCCCAAUUAUUUUGUCACAAUUUGUUACUUGCUAUUACAGUGAAGAAGAGGCCAGAAUGAAGAUCUAUUUAGGUUUAGUAGGGCGCUAGUUCAUUAUAUUUAGAGUUCUUUUAUCUAAUGAGCUUACUUCCGAACUCCGUGAUCUGGCUGCAGUUCAAUUGGUUACUACUCAUUUUUACCUGGGUCCCAAAAAUAAUGGAGG